ACCACAUUGGCCAAGCAAUUUUAUCUUAAGUAAACUAACUCUGCUUUGAUUCAUGGAUUGGUUUUGCUAUUAGCAGUAGUGGUUCCUUCUUUCAGCAUGUUAUCCAUUCAAUAUCUAUUUUACCUGUGUGAAUCCUUUGUUUCAGACCCGAAAUGUUUCCUCAAAAUGAAUAGUUUGUGCCAUGUCAAUCAUUGCUGCUAUCCUCUGAAUAAUUCAUGAUUGAUCUGUUAUUCAAUGCCAUUUAGUGGGCAUGUGUCAGCUUAUAAGUUUACAAAUACAUGAAACAUUUCUCCUCUUGUUAUUGUACUUAGCUUUCCACUGAUGACAGGAAGAAGAAGGCCGUUCACAAGACCACGACCACUGAUGACAAGAGGCUUCAAAGGACCUUGAAAAGGGUAGGAGCAAACACCAUUCUUUGUAUCGAAGAGCUCAGCAUUGUCAAGGAUGACGUAGUUAUCCAAUUUCAGAAUCCAAAAGUGCAAGCAUGCAUCACUUCAAACACAUGUGUUGUCACUUAUCAGUGGAACACCACGGACAAAAAGAAGCAAACAUAAGGAAAUGAACCAUGAAGCCGGCGAUCCGCGUCAACGGGAUGUUUUAGCUUUCGUUUUGUAUAACUGAUGUCUCAUACUUGCGUCUUUUUGUUGUCCUUCUGUAAACCUGAUGUAUGGUGUCUUGUCUUGGUGCUUAGAACAGACUGAACUGUAUGUAUGUGACAAUUAGUUAAUGGAAUAAAAAUG